CCUAGGGUGGCAGAAGUAGGGAAUAGUGCUCAAUGGGGGAAACCCUGAAGCAGCAACGCCGCGUGGAGGAGGAAGGUUUUCGGAUUGUAAACGCCUUUUGGUAGAGAAGAUAAGGACGGGAGCGAACGAAGAAGCACCGGCGAACUCCGUGCCAGCAGCCGCGGGAAUACGGAGGGUGCAAGCGUUACUCGGAAGCACUGGGCGUAAAGAGCGCGUAGGCGGGAUCGCAAGUCAGAUGUGAAAGCCUAUGGCGUAACCAUAGAACUGCAUUUGAAACGGUUAUUCUAGAGUAUGGGAGAGGUUGGUUGAAUUCUUGGUGUCGUGGUUCAAUCCGUAGCGAUC
rnacentral:rRNA from 1 species